rnacentral:rRNA from 1 species
UACGUAGGGUGCAAGCGUUGUCCGGAAUUAUUGGGCGUAAAGAGCUCGUAGGCGGUCUGUCGCGUCGGCUGUGAAAACCCGGGGCUCAACCCCGGGCCUGCAGUCGAUACGGGCAGACUAGAGUGCGGUAGGGGAGACUGGAAUUCCUGGUGUAGCGGUGAAAUGCGCAGAUAUCAGGAGGAACACCGGUGGCGAAGGCGGGUCUCUGGGCCAAUACUGACGCUGAGGAGCGAAAGCGUGGGGAGCGAACAGG